GACGAACGCUGGCGGCGUGCUUAACAUAUGCAAGUCGAACGGAAAGGCCCUGCUUUUGUGGGGUGCUCGAGUGGCGAACGGGUGAGUAACACGUGAGUAACCUGCCCUUGACUUUGGGAUAACUUCAGGAAACUGGGGCUAAUACCGGAUAGGAGCUCCUGCUGCAUGGUGGGGGUUGGAAAGUUUCGGCGGUUGGGGAUGGACUCGCGGCUUAUCAGCUUGUUGGUGGGGUAGUGGCUUACCAAGGCUUUGACGGGUAGCCGGCCUGAAAGGGUGACCGGCCACAUUGGGACUGAAAUACGGCCCAGACUCCUACGGGAGGCAGCAGUGGGGAAUAUUGCACAAUGGGCGGAAGCCUGAUGCAGCAACGCCGCGUGCGGGAUGACGGCCUUCGGGUUGUAAACCGCUUUCGCCUGUGACGAAGCGUGAGUGACGGUAAUGGGUAAAGAAGCACCGGCUAACUACGUG
rnacentral:rRNA from 1 species